rfam:Alligator mississippiensis ScZkoYb_165, whole genome shotgun sequence.
AACUGUGAUCUGUAGCCUGGAUGCUCCGGGCAGGGGUGUGCAUUGCAGCUCUACCCUGGCUCCAGACCAGGCUGUCAUAGCUGCAAGGAGCUGGGGCAGAGCCACAAUCCCCUGCUUGCAUGCCCCUGCCCAGAGCAUGCAGGAUACAGAUCGUGGCUCUA